GAUGAACGCUGGCGGCGUGCCUAAUACAUGCAAGUCGAGCGAACAGACGAGGAGCUUGCUCCUCUGACGUUAGCGGCGGACGGGUGAGUAACACGUGGAUAACCUACCUAUAAGACUGAGAUAACUUCGGGAAAACGGAGCUAAUACCGGACAAUAUAUUGAACCGCAUGGUUCAAUAGUGAAAGACGGUUUUGCUGUCACUUAUAUAUGGAUCCGCGCCGCAUUAGCUAGUUGGUAAGGUAACGGCUUACGAAGGCAACGAUGCGUAGCCGACCUGAGAGGGUGAUCGGGCACACUGGAACUGAGACACAGUCCAGACGCCUACGGUAGGCAGCAGUAGGGAAUCUUCCGCAAUGGGCGAAAGCCUGACAGAGCAACGCCGCGUGAGUGAUGAAGGUCUUCGGAUCGUAGAACUCUGUUAUUAGUGAAGAACAAAUGUGUAAGUAACUAUGCACGUCUUGACGGUACCUAAUCAGAAAGCCACGGCUAACUACGUG
rnacentral:rRNA from 1 species